rnacentral:rRNA from 1 species
AUUGAACGCUGGCGGCAUGCCUUACACAUGCAAGUCGAACGGCAGCACGGGAGCAAUCCUGGUAGCGAGUGGCGAACGGGUGAGUAAUAUAUCGGAACGUGCCCAGUCGUGGGGAUAACGUAGCGAAAGCUACGCUAAUACCGCAUACGAUCUAUGGAUGAAAGCGGGGGAUCGCAAGACCUCGCGCGAUUGGAGCGGCCGAUAUCAGAUUAGGUAGUUGGUGAGGUAAAGGCUCACCAAGCCGACGAUCUGUAGCUGGUCUGAGAGGACGACCAGCCACACUGGGACUGAGACACGGCCCAGACUCCUACGGGAGGCAGCAGUGGGGAAUUUUUGGACAAUGGGCGCAAGCCUGAUCCAGCAAUGCCGCGUGCAGGAUGAAGG